UUUUUGUAACUCCCCAGAGUUGGGAAUGAAUGGAUAUUAGGAAGGACAUCCACAGAGCUGGUCAGUCAAGAAUGAAACCUAUGCACCAAACUGAGAAAAGCUGUUGAUAGAGGAAUUUUAAAGAAGGAAUAGGGAGAGGACUACUUCUCUGUUUUUAGCUGGAAGUUCUAUCAUGUACAAAUGCUUUUGAUCACUACUUACAGCAUGUCCAGCAAUGAUGGCUUGAAAAUGGGAGAUUAUUGUAUGACAAGAAGUCCUAUGCAGGAGGAUUUUCUGGUUAUAACAACUGCUCUAUCAUGCAUCAAGGACAUAGGUUAUAUAUGUCUUUUCUGUCCUUCAUUCUCAGUGAUUUCACUACCCUAGAACCAAAAUGAACCAUGUUACACAAAUGAAGUUGGGAAAUUUCUUCGCUCCGUAUACGCACAUAUGUAGACAGCUCCAUAUCCCACAACCUCGUGAUAAUGAAAUCCCUCGCCUCUAGGAAACAUCACAGAAUAUCAGCUUGGGAACACUGUGUGUUUUGCAUGUCAAUCUUGUAUAGGGAGGACCUCUGGAAUGAGGGUCUUAUUCCUACUUUACAGGAAAAUCAGAGAAUUAUUUUAUGGCAUGUUUCUGCCUCAAGGGAGAAGGACAGGAGAAGGUCAGAGAAGCCUUCCUGCUUUUGCUGUUUUCUCAAAUGUCAAAGUGCCAUAUUUUGGGGUAGUGUGUCCUGAACUCCAUCAUCUCUCAGGAUCAUUUCAUGUAUUUCCUAUCUCCUGCCAGCAAUAUUAUGUUCUAACUGCCAGUGUGAAAGACAGAGAUGAAAAAGCAUCAUGGGAAUAAAUGAAUUAAUAUAACAUUGCUAGCCAAAAGGGGUCCCAAUCCAAACUUCAAGAGAGGGUUCUUGGUGCAAGAAUGAAUUCUGGAACUAAAAUGAUUCUCUGUGAAAGAAGCUGUAAAGACUCUCUACAAAAAAUCAGAGUGACUGUCAACCAUCUGUGCAAAUACACACCCACCAGAGAUAAUAAAGGUGCUUAGAGAAACAUAAAUGUAAAGUGGGCUCCCACAUCUAUAGAGGCAUUCAGAGCCUGAGAAAAGAGCUCCAACAAAUUUCACCUCUAGCAGCCUGAGUGGACUAUAACAGCUAUUCCUAAGGAAUAAUGCUACCGAUUAAUAAAGAUAGAAAAGUAAGAUGUAAUGUAAGUUAUAUCCAGG
rnacentral:lncRNA from 1 species